rnacentral:lncRNA from 7 species
AUGAUUUUCCCUUAGACCAAGUCCUUUUAGCUUGAAUGUGUGAUUGAAGGAAUGUGCCUUUCCCCUGGAGUGGAAAGCCAAUAAGGCUGGUGGCUCCUGCAUUCAACAGAACUUUUUUGUAACUCAGUAGAAGCUGAAAAGGAAAUUGUGUCUCCUGUCCAAGCAAGUAACCUUUGAUGAGAAAACCUUGAUGGUAUUUUAGAAGAGGAAGAAAAUCCAUCUCUGCAGGGUCACUAGAGACUUCGGCUAUUACUAAUUGAUUCUACACGGAGAGCACACAGUGGGGACAGCCUUCAGUCUGAAGUGGUGAGACAAAGGACUUCCAACCUUCUUUGAAGUGUUGCGUGUGGAAGCUAUUGGAAGUGUAAAAAGUUUCUCUAUGCCUGCACAGGUCUUCUGUUGGGAGCGUAAGGAUGGGGACCUUGGGACACCUCUUGCGUGUAGCACUAAGCUCACCAUUUAAGGAGAGGGAGGGUGUUGAAGGCACUCAACCUGAUUUUUCUCAUCAGUUACAGAAAUAUUCUUGGUAUGGCAUGCAGUGCACCUCCUCAAGACUUUAUUUUCACUUAGAAAUUUAUCUAGCAGAACAACCAUGUAAAAGUGUAAAAUCAUCAUUUGUCCUCUCUGUUGCUGAUCGGUGAGAUCCCUGAUAAUGGGGAUUGUUAAUUCAAGCCUAUGUCCCAAGAAUGGGCAGCAUAAAGGUGGCAGGAGAAAAGCACCUUCUGGCAGCAGCAGAUGAUAUCUACGUGGCAGAGGUGAGCAUGCCAGCACAGAUACCUGGUCUGCAGCUUCAGCCACAACAGCCACCCAGGCAGCACAGUCUACUGCAGAGGCUGCCCCAGGCUUCAGCAGACGUAACUCAGGUUUAACAGUCUGCUCUUCUCAAGUCAAGUCUAGCUCUCUCUACUGACAUUACAGCUGGGACAGGAAAGGCUUCCCCACUCUGAUACAGUUCGCAGGAUCCCUUUAGUCUUCUCUUGUCCUUUUUGUAGCUUAAUGAGGAAGGGGAAGGAUUUCACUUUUUCUUGUAAGGUAAUGAUGUUAUUUUUCCUUGGGGAAAAUGUUGUAUACCUGCAUGUGGUUUGACGUAGCCUAGUACAGUUCAGUGAGAAAUUACUGUCCCCUAGGCAGCAUCUUUGUGAUCACUGAAGGAUGGGCACAAUCUCUGACAGCAGUGGUUUGCCAGAGAGGGGAGUUGAAGCCUACGUAUGUCACGAAAGCUGUAUCCCAUCUUCUUUACCCUCCUCUAGGUGCGCUAGCUGUACACUCCCAUCUAUGCCUCCACGAUGGAGUGGAAGGCUGGGGAUGCCAGAGCUGUCUCUCUCCUCCAGCAGGCCCAUUUGCUGCUGUAAUGUAAUGUGUUGUGACAGCUUUUUGCUGGGCUAGCAAAGAAAAUAAAUACUUUUAAGAAACUGCUGCUGAUCCAAGAGAUGAAACUGAGAAGCUGAUAAUAGUGAGUGGUUAUGAAAGGCAAAUGAUGGUAAUGCAGAAUCUUGGCAGGCUCCUCACAAAAGAAAACAGUACAUUCCUGGCACACCAGGUAACACUUCAGAGUUACUGCCACAAAAGUUUGACUAACUUCUAAAACACAAAUAACCAGCCACCCCACCUCAUCUUGAGGACCAGACAGCAAAACAAUUCAGAUGCCUUGUGCACUUUUAUGAUGGCUUCUGUAAGUAUUGAGUGAUCUCUUUAAUGAGAUCUGACCUUUAGGUUUGGAAUCUGCAUUCUUUCAUUACACUUGAAUUAUUCCAUGUAGAUUAUCUAGUACAGGCUACAAGCUCAGACCUUUUGUUCGUAUAACCUAAAUGUAUAAUUUGAGGGAAAUGUCAUGAAAUGUUGGGAGGCCUAUUAAAUGAACUCUUGCUCAAAAAUGGGGUUUGUGAGGAAGUGAAAUACUGAUUGAACUUAACAGCCUUGUGUGAUUUCAAAAUCUAGAUUUGAGCCUGCAUAUAAAAACAUUUGUCUU